UGGGGAAUAUUGCACAAUGGGCGCAAGCCUGAUGCAGCGACGCCGCGUGAGGGAUGACGGCCUUCGGGUUGUAAACCUCUUUCGACAAGGACGAAGCCUUUUGGGGUGACGGUACUUGUAGAAGAAGCACCGGCUAACUACGUGCCAGCAGCCGCGGUAAUACGUAGGGUGCGAGCGUUGUCCGGAAUUAUUGGGCGUAAAGAGCUCGUAGGCGGUUUGUUGCGUCUAUCGUGAAAACUGGAGGCUUAACUUUCAGCUUGCGGUGGAUACGGGCAGACUUGAGUUCGGUAGGGGAGACUGGAAUUCCUGGUGUAGCGGUGAAAUGCGCAGAUAUCAGGAGGAACACCGGUGGCGAAGGCGGGUCUCUGGGCCGAUACUGACGCUGAGGAGCGAAAGCGUGGGGAGCGAACAGG
rnacentral:rRNA from 1 species